rnacentral:lncRNA from 1 species
UUUGAUCCUCCAAGUGUCCAAGUCUUGAGUCUGAAGAGGAGUCCCUUUCCAAAUGGAAUGGAAGGGGUAUUUAUAGGGUUUUCUGGAAAGUAGUCAUGUGCAAGGCACAUGCCUUCAGGAAAAUUCCAGAAAUACCCUUUAGUCCUUAGAGUAAUGCCCAUAUUGCCCUGUCCUUCUAGCCACCAAUCCGAUCCCUCAAUCAAUUCCCAAAACGAG